rnacentral:sRNA from 2 species
AGCUGAUGCACAUGGUGGCUUUUCCUCCCAGUUCCACCGCAUUAGCUGUUCCCCUCUGGAGGUUUUUGAACCUUCACACUUAUAAGGGCCCUGGUUUUCCAGCGGCCCUCUUUU